rnacentral:rRNA from 1 species
AUUGAACGCUGGCGGCAUGCCUUACACAUGCAAGUCGAACGGCAGCACGGGUGCUUGCACCUGGUGGCGAGUGGCGAACGGGUGAGUAAUACAUCGGAACAUGUCCUGUAGUGGGGGAUAGCCCGGCGAAAGCCGGAUUAAUACCGCAUACGAUCUCCGGAUGAAAGCGGGGGCCCUUCGGGCCUCGCGCUAUAGGGUUGGCCGAUGGCUGAUUAGCUAGUUGGUGGGGUAAAGGCCUACCAAGGCGACGAUCAGUAGCUGGUCUGAGAGGACGACCAGCCACACUGGGACUGAGACACGGCCCAGACUCCUACGGGAGGCAGCAGUGGGGAAUUUUGGACAAUGGGCGAAAGCCUGAUCCAGCAAUGCCGCGUGUGUGAAGAAGGCCUUCGGGUUGUAAAGCACUUUUGUCCGGAAAGAAAUCCUUGGCUCUAAUACAGUCGGGGGAUGACGGUACCGGAAGAAUAAGCACCGGCUAACUACGUG